UCCGGCCUCUAUAUAUUUAAAAAGUACUGAACUAUUCAAGCUAAUUCAAGCAAUGAAGUUUCAGUCACAAACGAAAUAAUGUCUCCCAAAAAAUUUAUUUGGGUCGUCGUACUCGCAACGCAGUAACAAUGAGAAGGAAGUUUUCUAAUAGGACUGAGCAACAGCAGGAAUUGGUGCGAGAGACGGAUCGGUUGAGACAAAGGCAGAGGAUUAUCAUGGAACCAGCAGAAAGGCUUGAGGGUCAACGAUUGUGAGCACGACAGUCGCGUUCGGCAGCAACAGAUUUAAUUCGGUCGCAGAGGCAUGAACACGACAGGGCAAGGUCUGUUGAAUUCAGUGCACAGAUAACAAUAAAUCGAAAUCAGCAAUACAAUCGUCUUGCAUUUCGAUAUAAUCCAGCUGUUGGUUAUAGCUCCAGUCGCCAUGUUGUCAUUGGCCAGAUGAGUCAUGUCUGCACUUGCUGCCAGGCUCUGAAGUUCAAUAAUGAAACGAAAGGAAUGUGUUGUUCUGGCGGAAAAUCAAAUUACCUCAACUUGAAACACCACCAAAGACACCAGAUAGCUAUCAUAUUUACGCGGAGAAUGGAGAAAAGAAAAGUAUUGUUUACCCACAAGUAUUACGAAAUUAAACGUAUUCGAAACUUA